rnacentral:snoRNA from 1 species
UCUUGCAAGUACUUUGAAGCAAGGAUGAGAGCAGACAGGAACAUGCGCCGGCCACAUUGCAUGGCGCGGGACUGAGACUGCUGCAGUUUUGGCUGUUCCAUGGUGAAGU